rnacentral:rRNA from 1 species
GAUGAACGCUGGCGGCGUGCCUAAUACAUGCAAGUCGAGCGAACGGACGAGAAGCUUGCUUCUCUGAUGUUAGCGGCGGACGGGUGAGUAACACGUGGAUAACCUACCUAUAAGACUGGGAUAACUUCGGGAAACCGGAGCUAAUACCGGAUAAUAUUUUGAACCGCAUGGUUCAAAAGUGAAAGACGGUCUUGCUGUCACUUAUAGAUGGAUCCGCGCUGCAUUAGCUAGUUGGUAAGGUAACGGCUUACCAAGGCAACGAUGCAUAGCCGACCUGAGAGGGUGAUCGGCCACACUGGAACUGAGACACGGUCCAGACUCCUACGGGAGGCAGCAGUAGGGAAUCUUCCGCAAUGGGCGAAAGCCUGACGGAGCAACGCCGCGUGAGUGAUGAAGGUCUUCGGAUCGUAAAACUCUGUUAUUAGGGAAGAACAUAUGUGUAAGUAACUGUGCACAUCUUGACGGUACCUAAUCAGAAAGCCACGGCUAACUACGUGCCAGCAGCCGCGGUAAUACGUAGGUGGCAAGCGUUAUCCGGAAUUAUUGGGCGUAAAGCGCGCGUAGGCGGUUUUUUAAGUCUGAUGUGAAAGCCCACGGCUCAACCGUGGAGGGUCAUUGGAAACUGGAAAACUUGAGUGCAGAAGAGGAAAGUGGAAUUCCAUGUGUAGCGGUGAAAUGCGCAGAGAUAUGGAGGAACACCAGUGGCGAAGGCGACUUUCUGGUCUGUAACUGACGCUGAUGUGCGAAAGCGUGGGGAUCAAACAGGAUUAGAUACCCUGGUAGUCCACGCCGUAAACGAUGAGUGCUAAGUGUUAGGGGGUUUCCGCCCCUUAGUGCUGCAGCUAACGCAUUAAGCACUCCGCCUGGGGAGUACGACCGCAAGGUUGAAACUCAAAGGAAUUGACGGGGACCCGCACAAGCGGUGGAGCAUGUGGUUUAAUUCGAAGCAACGCGAAGAACCUUACCAAAUCUUGACAUCCUUUGACAACUCUAGAGAUAGAGCUUUCCCCUUCGGGGGACAAAGUGACAGGUGGUGCAUGGUUGUCGUCAGCUCGUGUCGUGAGAUGUUGGGUGAAGUCCCGCAACGAGCGCAACCCUUAAGCUUAGUUGCCAUCAUUAAGUUGGGCACUCUAAGUUGACUGCCGGUGACAAACCGGAGGAAGGUGGGGAUGACGUCAAAUCAUCAUGCCCCUUAUGAUUUGGGCUACACACGUGCUACAAUGGACAAUACAAAGGGCAGCGAAACCGCGAGGUCAAGCAAAUCCCAUAAAGUUGUUCUCAGUUCGGAUUGUAGUCUGCAACUCGACUACAUGAAGCUGGAAUCGCUAGUAAUCGUAGAUCAGCAUGCUACGGUGAAUACGUUCCCGGGUCU